GUGGGCGCUAGGUGUGGGGAACAUUCCACGUUCUCCGUGCCGCAGCUAACGCAUUAAGCGCCCCGCCUGGGGAGUACGGCCGCAAGGCUAAAACUCAAAGGAAUUGACGGGGGCCCGCACAAGCGGCGGAGCAUGCGGCUUAAUUCGAUGCAACGCGAAGAACCUUACCUAGGCUUGACAGUUGGGGAAAACUGGCAGAGAUGUCAGGUCCGCAAGGGCCCCAAAACAGGUGGUGCAUGGCUGUCGUCAG
rnacentral:rRNA from 1 species